rnacentral:rRNA from 1 species
UACGUAGGGGGCAAGCGUUGUUCGGAAUUACUGGGCGUAAAGGGCGCGUAGGCGGCACGGCAAGUCGGGAGUGAAAGGCCUGGGCUCAACCGAGGAACUGCUUUCGAGACUGCCGAGCUAAAGUGCGGAAGGGGCAACCGGAAUUCCCAGUGUAGCGGUGAAAUGCGUAGAUAUUGGGAAGAACACCUGAGGCGAAGGCGGGUUGCUGGGCCGACACUGACGCUGAGGCGCGAAAGCCAGGGGAGCAAACGGG